CCUCUGUCUCCUCCAGAGGACCCAGGCCUGGGUCGGAGACAGAGCCGGGGGAUGCUGCUGACUGAAUCUGGGAAGCUGGGAAAAGCACUUGACAUGGGAGCUGGGCUUUGACAGGGGAGAUGUUGGGAAGGGCUUUCCAGGCAGAGGGUGUAGUAUGGGAAAGGCAUGGAGGCAUGAAAGGGGAUAGCACGUCUGCGGAGCGUCAGGUAGUCAGUCCAGUGUGGCUGGGGCAUGCAAGCUGUGUGCAGGAGUGAGGAUUAGUGGGCUAUGGGACACACAGGGUAAUUGUCCCCUUUCCCCCAGCAGGACCUUGAGAGCUAGGAUAAGGAGCUGGGACUUUCGCCUGAGGACACUGGGAAGCCAUGGAAGGUGUUUUCCCUAAUGAAAGCCUUCCACCUUUCAUCCCGUCCUGGCACUAGCUCCUUCGAGGGCCCAGACUCACGAGGAGAGACUGGAGGCAGCGGGUACCAGUGGCCACAGGAGCAUGGAGGAAGGGUGAAUUUGAAGACGUUUUAAAGGUCUAAUCCACAGUAUGACUUCAAGUGUACGCCCACCCUUAGCCCUCUGGCCUUUCCCCAUGUUUGGAGUUCUUAACGUCCAGCGUGACAAUCACCUGUGUGCAUAUUGGUCUCCCCUGCUAGACUCUGAAUUUGUUCAAUAAAUAAGUGAAUGAGUGAGUGAACAAAUAAACGAAUGAAGCAAAGGAAAAAGGGGAGUCUAGGACAAUCCUGGCACUCCACUUCGGGCCACUUGGUGGAUGGUUGUAGUCUAUAUUUCCUAUUUGCCCCAGUGUUUUUUUUGCCACUCCAGUUUUCCUUUGAAGAAUCAAUCUGCACUCUUUUGUGCAUCAAAGGAUGCUAUCAAGAGAGUGAAAAGACAGGGGCCAGCCCAGUGGCCUAGUGGUUA
rnacentral:lncRNA from 1 species